rnacentral:rRNA from 1 species
GACGAACGCUGGCGGCGUGCUUAACACAUGCAAGUCGAGCGGCAAGGCCCUUUCGGGGGUACACGAGUGGCGAACGGGUGAGUAACACGUGGGUGACCUGCCCUCAGCUCUGGGAUAAGCCUGGGAAACCGGGUCUAAUACUGGAUAUGACUCCAUGACGCAUGUUGUGGGGUGGAAAGCCUUGUGCGGCUGAGGAUGGGCCCGCGGCCUAUCAGCUUGUUGGUGGGGUGAUGGCCUACCAAGGCGACGACGGGUAGCCGGCCUGAGAGGGCGACCGGCCACACUGGGACUGAGACACGGCCCAGACUCCUACGGGAGGCAGCAGUGGGGAAUCUUGCGCAAGUGGGCGAAAGCCUGACGCAGCGACGCCGCGUGA